UACGUAGGGUGCAAGCGUUUGUCCGGAAUUAUUGGGCGUAAAGAGCUCGUAGGCGGUCUGUCGCGUCUGCUGUGAAAACUCAGGGCUUAACCCUGAGCUUGCAGUGGGUACGGGCAGACUAGAGUGCGGUAGGGGAGACUGGAAUUCCUGGUGUAGCGGUGAAAUGCGCAGAUAUCAGGAGGGAACACCGGUGGGCGAAGGCGGGUCUCUGGGCCGUAAACU
rnacentral:rRNA from 1 species